rnacentral:rRNA from 1 species
UACAGAGGUCUCAAGCGUUGUUCGGAUUCACUGGGCGUAAAGGGUGCGUAGGUGGCGGGGGUAAGUUUUGAUGUGAAAUCUCCGGGCUCAACCCGGAAAAUGCAUUGAAUACUAUUCUGCUUUGAGGUUUGGAGGGGGGACUGGAAUUCUUGGUGUAGCAGUGAAAUGCGUAGAUAUCAAGAGGAACACCAGUGGCGAAGGCGAGUCCCUGGCAACACCUGACACUGAGGCACGAAAGCUAGGGGAGCAAACAGG